AUUGAACGCUGGCGGCAUACCUUACACAUGCAAGUCGAACGGCAGCGCGGGAGCAAUCCUGGCGGCGAGUGGCGAACGGGUGAGUAAUGCAUCGGAACGUGCCCGGUAGUGGGGGAUAACUGCUCGAAAGAGCAGCUAAUACCGCAUACGACCUGAGGGUGAAAGGGGGGGAUCGCAAGACCUCUCGCUAUCGGAGCGGCCGAUGUCGGAUUAGCUAGUUGGUGGGGUAAAGGCCAACCAAGGCAACGAUCCGUAGCUGGUCUGAGAGGACGACCAGCCACACUGGGACUGAGACACGGCCCAGACUCCUACGGGAGGCAGCAGUGGGGAAUUUUGGACAAUGGACGCAAGUCUGAUCCAGCCAUGCCGCGUGCGGGAAGAAGGCCUUCGGGUUGUAAACCGCUUUUGUCAGGGAAGAAAUCUUCUGGGCUAAUACCCUGGGAGGAUGACGGUACCUGAAGAAUAAGCACCGGCUAACUACGUGCCAGCAGCCGCCGUAAUAC
rnacentral:rRNA from 1 species